CGUCUGCCUGGCCGACUUUGGCACUAGCACAUUUUUGCUUGUGUCUCUCCGCUCUGAGCAAUCAUGUGCAGUGCCAAUAUGGGACAAGCAGAACGC
ensembl:miRNA